AGAGUUUGAUCAUGGCUCAGAUUGAACGCUGGCGGUAUGCCUAACACAUGCAAGUCGAACGCGAACGUACCUUCGGGUGCUAGUAGAGUGGCGGACGGGUGAGUAACGCGUAGGAAUCUNCCCAGUAGUGGGGGACAACUCGAGGAAACUCGAGCUAAUACCGCAUACGCCCUAUGGGGGAAAGGCUUCGGCCGCUAUUGGAUGAGCCUGCGUCAGAUUAGCUAGUUGGUAGGGUAAUGGCCUACCAAGGCAACGAUCUGUAGCUGGUCUGAGAGGACGAACAGCCACACUGGGACUGAGACNCGGCCCAGACUCCUACGGGAGGCAGCAGUGGGGAAUAUUGGACAAUGGGCGAAAGCCUGAUCCAGCAAUACCGCGUGUGUGAAGAAGGCCUGNGGGUUGUAAAGCACUUUCAGUNNGGAAGAUA
rnacentral:rRNA from 1 species